rnacentral:rRNA from 1 species
CUGCCCAAAAGAGGGGGAUAACACUUGGAAACAGGUGCUAAUACCGCAUAACCAUAGUUACCGCAUGGUAACUAUGUAAAAGGUGGCUAUGCUACCGCUUUUGGAUGGGCCCGCGGCGCAUUAGCUAGUUGGUGGGGUAAAGGCUUACCAAGGCAAUGAUGCGUAGCCGAACUGAGAGGUUGAUCGGCCACAUUGGGACUGAGACACGGCCCAAACUCCUACGGGAGGCAGCAGUAGGGAAUCUUCCACAAUGGGCGAAAGCCUGAUGGAGCAACGCCGCGUGGGUGAAGAAGGUCUUCGGAUCGUAAAACCCUGUUGUUAGAGAAGAAAGUGCGUGAGAGUAACUGUUCACGUUUCGACGGUAUCUAACCAGAAAGCCACGGCUAACUACGUGCCAGCAGCCGCGGUAAUACGUAGGUGGCAAGCGUUAUCCGGAUUUAUUGGGCGUAAAGGGAACGCAGGCGGUCUUUUAAGUCUGAUGUGAAAGCCUUCGGCUUAACCGGAGUAGUGCAUUGGAAACUGGGAGACUUGAGUGCAGAAGAGGAGAGUGGAACUCCAUGUGUAGCGGUGAAAUGCGUAGAUAUAUGGAGGAACACCAGUGGCGAAAGCGGCUCUCUGGUCUGUAACUGACGCUGAGGUUCGAAAGCGUGGGUAGCAAACAGGAUUAGAUACCCUGGUAGUCCACGCCGUAAAC